ACGCUCGACACCUACGGCAGGCAGCAGUGGGGAAUAUUGCACAAUGGGGGAAACCCUGAUGCAGCGACGCCGCGUGAGCGAAGAAGUAUUUCGGUAUGUAAAGCUCUAUCAGCAGGGAAGAAAGUGACGGUACCUGACUAAGAAGCACCGGCUAAAUACGUGCCAGCAGCCGCGGUAAUCUGAGCGGGCUGGCAAGGC
rnacentral:rRNA from 1 species